AUUGAACGCUGGCGGCAUGCUUUACACAUGCAAGUCGAACGGUAACAGGCCUUCGGGUGCUGACGAGUGGCGAACGGGUGAGUAAUGCAUCGGAACGUGCCCAGAGGUGGGGGAUAACGCAGCGAAAGCUGUGCUAAUACCGCAUGUGAUCUGAGGAUGAAAGCGGGGGACCAGGCAGCAAUGUUUGGCCUCGCGCCUUUGGAGCGGCCGAUGUCAGAUUAGGUAGUUGGUGGGGUAAAGGCCUACCAAGCCGACGAUCUGUAGCUGGUCUGAGAGGACGACCAGCCACACUGGGACUGAGACACGGCCCAGACUCCUACGGGAGGCAGCAGUGGGGAAUUUUGGACAAUGGGCGCAAGCCUGAUCCAGCAUUGCCGCGUGCGGGAAGAAGGCCUUCGGGUUGUAAACCGCUUUUGUACGGAACGAAAAGGCUCUGGCUAAUACCUGGGGCUGAUGACGGUACCGUAAGAAUAAGCACCGGCUAACUACGUG
rnacentral:rRNA from 1 species